CUGCCUGUCCUGCCUCUCAUGGAAACACACUGUCCUGGGCUUUAUAGGAAUCAAGCAGUUAUGUCCAGAGCCCCAGCUUCAUCUGCCCUCACUUUAUUGCCCUGCCUGGUCUUCUACUACUUUCUCCAAUAGUCAAGGGUAUCUUCUCCUCAUCUCCCAUAGAAGGUGAUCAACAGAACUCUGCUGACCAGCGGUUGGUGAUCAUUCGAUAUUCAUCGACAUCUAUUCCACUCAGCAGCAGGCACUUUGAGAGGCACUGGAGAUGAUCACACCUGGAGAACCUCAGCCUCUGCCUUCAAGGGGACACGAAAAUCCAUGAUGAAAUGCCAUGUGAUACGUGCUAUGAUUCCAACAUAUGACUCAGCCCUCCCAAUUUCAUGUCAUCUGAAAAUAUGGCAUACAUGCCUUCCAUGUCUUCAUCCAGGUCCAUGAUAAAAAUUGUCAAAGGAGAGAGAAAACUUUGGCACAGUACCAGAGAUCUUCAUCCAAACAAUCUCAAAUCGUUCAUCAGCUAUGAAUCUACCUAACAUGACAGGAUCCAGCCCACAUUUCUAUAUUAAUAUCACAAGACUCCAUCAAAUGCCUGAAAAAAUGAAGAAGGGCAACAUUCUAUGCAGGGAGGAAUAAUGAGAAAAAGAGCAGAGAAACAUGUGAUCUAUUUCUCAUAUGGAGAAUAUUCUCUCUGUAUUAAAAAAUUAAUA
rnacentral:lncRNA from 1 species